GAGUGAAUCCUUGGAGGUAGCAGGAUCCUAUGGAUCUAGAUGGGCCUGGCACGCCGCGGUCUGCCAGCAGGCGGAUCGUCGCGAGCUGGCGGGAGACUGGUUUGGGUGACGUUCAAUGAGAUUUGGCGGGUUCUGAGGGAGGGUGGACUUACAGGAAGGUAGGGAGAGGGAGUUAAGUGUUUAUAAUUAGUAAUUUGAAGUGUGUGUGUGUGUGCGCGCGCGCGUUGGUACUGAACUUAUAGGCAGUUGUGAGCUACCAUGAUGUGGGUGCUGAUAAUGGAGUUUACAUUCUCUGCAAGUUUUAUGUGUUUUUAACUGAUGAGCCAUUUCUGUAUUCCCCCCUCCUUACUCUUACAUUUGUUUUCCUAUUUUAUGUGUUUUGUCUGCAUGUUUAUGGACUACAUGCGUGCAUUGCCCACAAAGGCCAGAAGAAGUUGUGGGAUUCCCUGGAACUGGAGCAACCAACAGUUUGUGUGCACCAUGUGGGUAAUGGGAAUCGAACCUGGGUCCUCUAUAAGACUGGCCAGUGCUCUUAACUACUGAGGUGCAUUUCUUUCGGAAUUGAUUCACAUAACUAUUAUGCUAUACUGUUUGAAGUAUUUAUUAGAAAAACAUCAGAAAGAGGCUUCAUAUGGUCUGUGAAUUGAAUCUUGGGUAUUCCGAACUUUUGGGCUAAUAUCCACUUAUCAGUGAAUUUGGACCACUUUCAUUUACAUGAAGAAAUAUCUUAGGGGUGAGAUCCGUAUCUAUAAUUGUGCUUCUUACACAUUUCACCCUACAUUAAAUUUUAACUUGAGGAUAAUUUAUAUAGUAUUUUUGGCAACCUUAUUUUGAUGAUGAUUCUUAACAGUCACAUGUAGAAUUUUGAAUCUCUGUGUCAUGGCAGUGUUCAAAAAGUUUUCAAUUUUAGUGACUUUGGGACUUUGAGAUUUGAGUACCUGCUGCUAUGUGAUCUAUUUUCAUUGUGCCAGUCUUAGGCUAAAUCCUGUAUAAACAUAAUCUCAUUUUCAUUUUCACAACCACUUGAGAUAUCUUUGACUCAUUUAAAAGUGAAACUCAAGAAACGUUUUUGUUCAAUCACACCUAAAUUUUGGCAGAGCUAAAAUUUUAAUUUGUAUUAAUCUUAAUUCAAAUCUCACAUACUUUCUCAUAUUUCUCUUGUCUACUGUACAGUAUCCAGUAGGUUGAACUGUACUUUGACACUACCAUAAAAUGUUUAGUUGCAAAUGUUGUAUGAUUCUGACAGUUUCUUUUCAGGUAUCUUUGAGUAUCUUCUGACACUAGAAGAUCCUGUAAACUCUACAGACUUCAACAGAAUUGAAGAACCUGGACAGAGCAGAGUUACCAACAAGAGAGCCCAGGGAUAGCAUUAACAUGGUGGUUACUCAAGACCUAACUCAGCCAGGGAGACAUACCAAGGCCUAUGAGGUGAAGGGAAAAGAAGGGUGACCCAAAGGGCAGGAAUUUUUUAUCCUGAACUUUUGAGCCUUAUAGAAAAACAUAAUUUGUUGGGCAUGUUUUCUGACCCUCAUACAGUUUUUACAACCAUUUGAAGAUAUAGUUCUAGCUCUAGUAGGCUCUACAGGAAGGUAUAUCAAACUUUUUAACAGAACACUUUAUUAUUUUAAAUAUAUGAGUAUUUCACCUGCAUAGGCGCACAGUACCCACAGAGACUAGAAGAGGGUGGCAGAUCUCCUGAGACUGGAGUUAAUGCUUGUGAGCUGCCAUGUGGAUGCUGGAAAUCAAACCCAGGUCCUUUGGAAGGCAGGCAGGUGCUCUUAAUCAUGGAAGCAUCUCUUCAGCUCCUACCCUAGUUCUUUAAUUUUGUUUUAAAUUUUUGAGGUAGGGUUUUGCUAAGUUACUUGGGCUGGCCUUGGACUAGUAACCAUUCUGUGUCAGCCUUCUGGGAUUAGAGGUAUGUGCUAGCAUGUCUAGCAUCUUUCUAUUUCUUUGGUUUUCCUUCUAAUUAAUUAAAAAAUACAUUAUCUUCUAAAUCUUUUAUUGUACAUCAUGAAUGCUAUUUCAGUUUUUGUUUAAAUAAGCUUAAAUGUAAACAUCACUAUAAGUACACCACUAUUUCUAUUGUGCAGUUUCAGUGAUACAAUAUCUUAUCACUUACAGAGUAUUAGUAAUAGUUUAAUUUAAAAAAAAUCAUUUAUUGUUGUUUUUUGUCUCACCCCCCUCCCCUCCCCCAAUCUCUGGAGCUGAGGACCAAACCCAGGGCCUUGUGCUUGCUAAGCAAAUGCUCUACCGCUGAGCUAAAUCUCCAACCCCUAGUUUAAUUUUGUUUUAGAAAGACUCUUACUUAAUGUACUUGCUGUGUGUGAUGGUUUGUAUAUUCUUGGACCAGGGAGUGGCAACAUUUGGAGGUGUGGCCUUGUUGGAAUAGGUGUGACCUGGUUGGAGUAGGUGUGUCACUGUGGGUGUGGGUAUGAGACCCUCACCCUAGUUGCCUGGAAGUCAGUCUUCCACUAGCAGCCUUUGGAUGAAGACAUAGAACUCUCAGCUCUUCCUGUGCCAUGCCUGCCUGGAUACUGCCAUGCUCCCACCGUGAUGGUAAUGGACUGAACCUCUGAACCUGUAAGCCAGCCCCAAUUAAAUGUUGUUUUUUAUAAGA
rnacentral:lncRNA from 1 species